GACCAUGCAAGGCUAGUUAACGUGGUGUAGCAGAGAAAUGGGACAGGUCAGAGGGAAUUUGACACUACUGGAGCACUUAUGAUUUAUGGGGACACAACCUGGCUGCAGCUCCUGACCAAGGGCACAGGGUCAUUUAUCCCAUUCUAAUAUUGAAACCUAAAAUAGGGAAGAUGAAUCAUCCACUGGAGGAAUCUACUUCACUCCACUGACUGUAAAAGAAGCAUAAAAACAGCCAAGAGAAGUUACUGAAUAUUUAGACAGCACAAGUUAGUGGAGACAAAUUCCACAAUAAGCAGCUUACAGCUGACAAAUGUGCGUCACAGAGACAUGGGCUACGCAUGGAUCAGCAGUCAUACUCAUACUUCCCAGACGUGUUUAUAUGGCAUUCAGCUUGCUGGCCUGAUCACCAAAAGCUAUCAAGGUAUUCAAAUGGAUUGCUCCUAAGCAUUAUACCAAAAGAAGAGAAGAAAUCUAAUAAAGUGUUCAUCUCUGGCUCUCA